rnacentral:rRNA from 1 species
GGAGCAUGCGGAUUAAUUCGAUGCAACGCGAAGAACCUUACCAAGGCUUGACAUACACCGGUAACGCCCCAGAGAUGGGUGCCCCUUUGUGGUCGGUGGACAGGUGGUGCAUGGUUGUCGUCAGCUCGUGUCGUGAGAUGUUGGGUUAAGUCCCGCAACGAGCGCAACCCCUAUUGUUAGUUGUCCAUCAGUUCAGUUGGGCGACUCUAGCGGAGACUGGCCGGUAAUAACCGGAGGAGGUGGGGAUGACGUCAAAUCAUCAUGCCCCUUAUGACCUGGGCUACACACGUGCUACAAUGGUUGGUACAACGAGUUGCGAGUCGGUGACGGCGAGCUAAUCUCUUAAAGCCAAUCUCAGUUCGGAUUGUAGGCUGCAACUCGCCUACAUGAAGUCGGAAUCGCUAGUAAUCGCGGAUCAGCACGCCGCGGUGAAUACGUUCCCGGGCCUU